CAAUAGCGUAUAUUAAAGUUGUUGCAGUUAAAAAGCUCGUAGUUGGAUUUCUGGCUGGAGCGAUCGGUCCGCCCCGCAAGGGGUGUGUACUAGCGUCGUCUCCGACCAUCCUUGUGGGAACUGUGCGGCCGUUAACUCGGUUGUAUAUGGGAACACAUCGUUUACUGUGAAAAAAUUAGAGUGUUCAAAGCAGGCUUAGGCCGUUGGAUACAUUAGCAUGGAAUAAUGAGAUAGGGCCACGACGGUCUAUUUUGUUGGUUUGCACGUUGUGGUAAUGAUUAACAGGAACGGUUGGGGGUAUUCGUAUUCAAUUGUCAGAGGUGAAAUUCUUGGAUUUAUGGAAGACGAACUACUGCGAAAGCAUUUACCAAGGAUGUUUUCAUUAAUCAAGAACGAAAGUUAGGGGAUCGAAGACGAUUAGAUACCAU
rnacentral:rRNA from 1 species